rnacentral:rRNA from 1 species
UUCGGGAAGUGGAUUAGCGGCGGACGGGUGAGUAACACGUGGGUAACCUGCCUCAAAGUGGGGAAUAGCCUUCCGAAAGGAAGAUUAAUACCGCAUAAUGUAAGAGAAUCGCAUGAUUUUCUUACCAAAGAUUUAUCGCUUUGAGAUGGACCCGCGGCGCAUUAGCUAGUUGGUGAGGUAAAUGCUCACCAAGGCAACGAUGCGUAGCCGACCUGAGAGGGUGAUCGGCCACAUUGGAACUGAGACACGGUCCAGACUCCUACGGGAGGCAGCAGUGGGGAAUAUUGCGCAAUGGGGGAAACCCUGACGCAGCAACGCCGCGUGAGUGAUGAAGGUCUUCGGAUUGUAAAGCUCUGUUUUCUAGGACGAUAAUGACGGUACUAGAAGAGGAAGCCACGGCUAACUACGUGCCAGCAGCCGCGGUAAUACGUAGGUGGCGAGCGUUGUCCGGAUUUACUGGGCGUAAAGGGUGCGUAGGCGGAUUCUUAAGUGGGAUGUGAAAUACCCGGGCUUAACUUGGGUGCUGCAUUCCAAACUGGGAAUCUAGAGUGCAGGAGAGGAAAGUGGAAUUCCUAGUGUAGCGGUGAAAUGCGUAGAGAUUAGGAAGAACACCAGUGGCGAAGGCGACUUUCUGGACUGUAACUGACGCUGAGGCACGAAAGCGUGGGUAGCAAACAGGAUUAGAUACCCUGGUAGUCCACGCCGUAAACGAUGGAUACUAGGUGUAGGAGGUAUCGACCCCUUCUGUGCCGCAGUUAACGCAAUAAGUAUCCCGCCUGGGGAGUACGGUCGCAAGAUUAAAACUCAAAGGAAUUGACGGGGGCCCGCACAAGCAGCGGAGCAUGUGGUUUAAUU